UGAAGGGAUUGCACAUGUCAAAUGGCUCAUCUUUGCCCCUGUGGCUCUUGAAAUAUGGAAGCAAAUUGAUCAGGGGGAGCUCUUCAGUCUGCAUGCUUGAGUAACUGCAAGCAAAACAAAACUAGGAAAAAAUAAGAUAUUUGACAAGACAAGAGCCAGAGGGAAGCAGCAACAUCAGGAAAUGCAGUGUGAAGAGAAGAGGUGGCUAAUUAGAGGAAGCAAAGAAAGAGAUCUUGACGAAUCUGUUCUAGAAAAUCUCUUUCUAAAAGAGGGGCAUUUCAGAAGCAAACAAUCCUCCCUCUGGAUAUGACCUGGGAGAGCACCUGGCUGGGGUUACCUAAGCAGGUAUGCCUCAAUGCAGCCAGCCAGAGUUACCCCAGCACUGUCCACAGCCCUGACUAUACACAC
rnacentral:lncRNA from 1 species